rnacentral:rRNA from 1 species
AUUGAACGCUGGCGGCAUGCUUUACACAUGCAGGUCGAACGGUAACAGGCCGCAAGGUGCUGACGAGUGGCGAACGGGUGAGUAAUGCAUCGGAACGUGCCCAGUCGUGGGGGAUAACGCAGCGAAAGCUGUGCUAAUACCGCAUACGAUCUAUGGAUGAAAGCGGGGGACCGUAAGGCCUCGCGCGAUUGGAGCGGCCGAUGUCAGAUUAGGUAGUUGGUGGGGUAAAGGCUCACCAAGCCAACGAUCUGUAGCUGGUCUGAGAGGACGACCAGCCACACUGGGACUGAGACACGGCCCAGACUCCUACGGGAGGCAGCAGUGGGGAAUUUUGGACAAUGGGCGCAAGCCUGAUCCAGCAAUGCCGCGUGCAGGAAGAAGGCCUUCGGGUUGUAAACUGCUUUUGUACGGAACGAAACGGUCUGGGUUAAUACCCUGGGCUAAUGACGGUACCGUAAGAAUAAGCACCGGCUAACUACGUGCCAGCCGCCGCGGUAA